UUUCCAGUCAACAUGGCGACGAUAAGAAAGUAGGACAGGCUUCUUGCUGAUGAGUGAAAGCUUUAGUGGUCUGGGUGGGAGAUAAAACCUGCCAGAACAUUCCCUUGGUGUUCAAGCCUAAUCCAGAUCAAAGCCAUAGCUCUCUUCGGUUCCGUGAAGGCUGGGAGAGGUCAGGAGGCUGCAGAAGAAAAAGCGGCUUCCUGAGGUUGAAGCAAAGGAACUAACGGUCUGCAAACAGAACUGAGCAGGGCAAGGCCAGAAGCCAGCGGAGAAGCCGCAGCACGCUCCCACUCCUGGGAAGUUUCCGCUAAGAGCAUUGCUGCAGGUGACUGGACCACACCUCGGAAUGUGGCAAGAAGAUGCCAGAGCCAUAUAGAGGAGCAGCUUCCCUGUGGUUCCCAUUCCUGGGUCACCUUCUUCCCGGAGGAGGGAGAGGACAUUCUUUGCCAAAUAAGUCUUGGUUCCACUUGGAAGAGAGACCGUUUACAAACAGACAGCAGUCUGGGUGUUUCCUGGACUCCCACUCUUCUCAGAUCUCAGCUGGAGUUCCUUUUCUUGGCGGUCUUUCUGCAGGAGUCUCCAGGUCACUUUCCAGGGCUCUCUCCUCCAGCUGGC
rnacentral:lncRNA from 1 species